CUGACAGUCGUCUAAGUCUUAGGAGAUCAAAACAAAGGCUUAGACGACUGUCAACU
rnacentral:pre_miRNA from 1 species